UACGGAGGGUGCAAGCGUUGUCCGGAUUUAUUGGGUUUAAAGGGUGCGUAGGCGGUUCUUUAAGUCCGGGGUGAAAGCCCACUGCUCAACAGUGGAACUGCCCUGGAAACUGGCGAACUUGAGUACAGACGAGGGCGGCGGAAUGGAUGGUGUAGCGGUGAAAUGCAUAGAUACCAUCCAGAACCCCGAUUGCGAAGGCAGCUGCCUAGACUGUAACUGACGCUGAGGCACGAAAGCGUGGGGAGCGAACAGG
rnacentral:rRNA from 1 species